rnacentral:rRNA from 1 species
UACGUAGGGUGCGAGUGUUAAUCGGAAUUACUGGGCGUAAAGCGUGCGCAGGCGGUUUGCUAAGACAGGUGUGAAAUCCCCGGGCUUAACCUGGGAACUGCGCUUGUGACUGGCAGGCUAGAGUACGGUAGAGGGGGUGGAAUUCCUGGUGUAGCAGUGAAAUGCGUAGAUAUCAGGAGGAACACCGAUGGCGAAGGCAGCCCCCUGGGCCUGUACUGACGCUCAUGCACGAAAGCGUGGGGAGCAAACAGGAUUAGAUACCCCGGUAGU